GAUGCUGCUGAAGUGCAUCGAAUAAGUCCGGCCGCCCUCUUCCUCCAUUCGAACCAUCCUCCGACGGCGGCGGGGCAAAUAAAGGAGAAGAGCUCGCCCAGCAAUGGAAUCCCUCUCUUUCUCCAAAACACUCUAUCACUCCUUCCCUCAUCUCCCAAUUUCUUCUCGCUUUCCUUCCUCCGUUUCCCCAAAAUCCCGUAUCUUAAAGCCCUUUCCAAAAACCCUAACCUUGAUUCGCUCCUCCCACCAAACCCCCACCCAAACCCUACAAUCUCUAUCCGUCUUUCUCAAACCAGCCAUUCUAUCCCUUACCGCUGCUGCUGCUGUCUUUUUCUCCCGCCGCUCCCUCCCAUCCCUCGCCGCUGUUGUGCACCCUCCCCCCGCCGCUCAAUCCGAAAACCUUUCUUCUUCCGAUGAACACAGCGAGGAAGUCCUGGAGCAGCAUCUUGCCUCCCAUCCCGACGAUGUCGACUCCCUCCGAGCUCUCGUCCAACUCAAAGUUAAGCAACAGAAGCUCCCCGAAGCCAUCGCGGUUGUCGACCGGCUCGUCCUUCUUGACCCCACUGAUCCCGAGCUCCAUCUCCUGAGAGCCCACCUUCAUACCUACAGCGGCGAUACAGAAAAAGCACGCGAAGGAUUUGAAGAGAUUUUGUCGGCGAAUCCUUUCGUUGUCGAGGCUUAUCAUGGGCUCGUCAUGGCUGCGUCGCGCUCUGUUGAUAUGAAGGAGCUUGAUCGGGUUGUAGAGAGGGUUGAGGGAGUUAUUCAGCGUUGCAAGAAAGAGAAUAGGUGGAAGGAGUUGAGAGAUUUUAAGCUUUUGGUGGCACAGGUUUUGAUUAUUGAGGGUAAGUAUCAGGAGGCUCUGAAGAUGUAUCAGGAGAUGGUGAAGGAUGAACCACGAGAUUUCAGGCCUUAUCUUUGCCAGGGAAUCGUUUAUACUCUGAUGAGGAAGACGGACGAGGCAAAUAAACAUUUUAAGCAGUACAGGAAGCUUGUUCCUAAGAACCAUCCCUAUGCGCAAUUGUUCGAGAGUAAUUUGAGUGGGAUUAAUGCUGCCCUAAAGAAGAAGGAUGACAAUGUGACGGAUAGUUCACUGCAGAGCUAAGAUACGAGGAGGGUGUUUUCUUAUGGGAUGUUUGGUGUUAGAUUUGAUUCAUAUGCAUAUGCUGCAAGAUGAUGGUGGAUUGAAGUCGAAUGGCAUGUAUUAAUGCAUUAUUGAUGCUUUAGUCUGCAAACAAAGCACAUUAGUUUCGGGGUCUCUAAUGGAAGCUCUUUCAAUGAAACCUAUCUCAACUCUUUGUUUAGGCAUGGAAAAUGGCUUACCUGGGUUCUUCUGUGAUUGAAGUUCUGUUAAGCUAAUUUUUUAUGAUGGGGCCAUGGCAGCUUGGACGGGUUUUGCAGCUGGGAAGCCGUUUGCUUGAUUUUUUUUGAAUUAAAUAAAGAAACAUCUACCCCACAACUGUUCUCAUAUAGCUGCAACAAACAGACAGUCAGCUUCCCCGCAGCAGCUUCCUGAGGCAGCGCAGUUGCAACUGAAAAACUGAAAAGCUGCAGCUGCGCCAAACAGAGCCUUAGUUGGAGGAAGGAUUGCUAUUGUUUUUAUUGUUGUGUACUGUUUUACCUUGGUAGUUCUUCUACUUUCAAAGUUCUCAACAUAUUUAUCAUGUCUAUUACA